CCGCCUUUGCCGAAGGGCCGAAGGUUGGCGUCGUCGUCAAGAUCGGCGGUAUUCCGUGGUUCAACGCCAUGGAGGCCGG
rnacentral:tRNA from 1 species